GAUGAACGCUGGCGGCGUGCCUAAUACAUGCAAGUCGAGCGAAUGGAUUAAGAGCUUGCUCUUAUGAAGUUAGCGGCGGACGGGUGAGUAACACGUGGGUAACCUGCCCAUAAGACUGGGAUAACUCCGGGAAACCGGGGCUAAUACCGGAUAACAUUCUGAACCGCAUGGUUCGAAAUUGAAAGGCGGCUUCGGCUGUCACUUAUGGAUGGACCCGCGUCGCAUUAGCUAGUUGGUGAGGUAACGGCUCACCAAGGCAACGAUGCGUAGCCGACCUGAGAGGGUGAUCGGCCACACUGGGACUGAGACACGGCCCAGACUCCUACGGGAGGCAGCAGUGGGGAAUCUUCCGCAAUGGACGAAAGUCUGACGGAGCAACGCCGCGUGAGUGAUGAAGGCUUUCGGGUCGUAAAACUCUGUUGUUAGGGAAGAACAAGUGCUAGUUGAAUAAGCUGGCACCUUGACGGUACCUAACCAGAAAGCCACGGCUAACUUCGUGCCAGCAGCCGCGGUAA
rnacentral:rRNA from 1 species